UACGGAGGGUGCAAGCGUUAUCCGGAUUCACUGGGUUUAAAGGGUGCGUAGGAGGGCAGGUAAGUCGGUGGUGAAAUCUCCAAGCUUAACUUGGAAACUGCCGUUGAUACUAUCUGUCUUGAAUAUUGUGGAGGUGAGCGGAAUAUGUCAUGUAGCGGUGAAAUGCUUAGAUAUGACAUAGAACACCAAUUGCGAAGGCAGCUCACUACACAAUCAUUGACUCUGAGGCACGAAAGCGUGGGGAUCAAACAGG
rnacentral:rRNA from 1 species